rnacentral:rRNA from 1 species
GGCAGGCCUAACACAUGCAAGUCGAGCGCAGUCCUUCGGGACCGAGCGGCGGACGGGUUAGUAACGCGUGGGAACAUACCCCUUUCUACGGAAUAGCCUCGGGAAACUGAGAGUAAUACCGUAUAAGCCCUUCGGGGGAAAGAUUUAUCGGGAAGGGAUUGGCCCGCGUUAGAUUAGAUAGUUGGUGGGGUAAUGGCCUACCAAGUCUACGAUCUAUAGCUGGUUUUAGAGGAUGAUCAGCAACACUGGGACUGAGACACGGCCCAGACUCCUACGGGAGGCAGCAGUGGGGAAUCUUAGACAAUGGGCGCAAGCCUGAUCUAGCCAUGCCGCGUGUGUGAUGAAGGUCUUAGGAUCGUAAAGCACUUUCGCCAGGGAUGAUAAUGACAGUACCUGGUAAAGAAACCCCGGCUAACUCCGUGCCAGCAGCCGCGGUAAUACGGAGGGGGUUAGCGUUGUUCGGAAUUACUGGGCGUAAAGCGUACGUAGGCGGAUCAGAAAGUUAGGGGUGAAAUCCCGAGGCUCAACCUCGGAACUGCCUCUAAAACUCCUGGUCUUGAGUUCGAGAGAGGUGAGUGGAAUUCCAAGUGUAGAGGUGAAAUUCGUAGAUAUUUGGAGGAACACCAGUGGCGAAGGCGGCUCACUGGCUCGAUACUGACGCUGAGGUACGAAAGUGUGGGGAGCAAACAGGAUUAGAUACCCUGGU